rnacentral:rRNA from 1 species
GACGAACGCUGGCGGCGUGCUUAACACAUGCAAGUCGAACGGAGUGGCGAACGGGUGAGUAACACGUGGGUGAUCUGCCUUGCACUUCGGGAUAAGCUUGGGAAACUGGGCCUAAUACCGGAUAGUACACGAUGAUCUCGCGGACAAUCAGCUUGUUGGUUGGGUAACGGCCUAGCAAGGCGUCGACGGGUAGCCGGCAUGAGAGGGUGUACGGACACAUUGGGCCUGAGAUACGGCCCAGACUCCUACGGGAGUCAGCAGUGGGGAAUAUUGCACAAGGGGCGGACGCCUGAUGCAGCGACGCCGCGUGGGGGAUGAAGGCCUUCGGGUUGUACACUCCUUUCGACAGUGACGCGGUACCUGUAUAGGAAGCACCGGCUAACUACGUGCCAGCAGCCGCGGUAAUUC